GAGGAAAAGAAACUAACAAGGAUUCCCCUAGUAACUGCGAGUGAAGCGGGAAAAGCUCAAAUUUAAAAUCUGGUAGUCUUUGGCUGCCCGAGUUGUAAUCUAGAGAAGCAUUAUCCGCGCUGGACCAUGUAUAAGUCUCCUGGAAUGGAGCAUCAUAGAGGGUGAGAAUCCCGUCUUUGACAUGGAACUACCAGGGCAUUGUGAUAUGCUCUCAACGAGUCGAGUUGUUUGGGAAUGCAGCUCUAAAUGGGUGGUAAAUUCCAUCUAAAGCUAAAUAUUGGCGAGAGACCGAUAGCGAACAAGUACCGUGAGGGAAAGAUGAAAAGAACUUUGGAAAGAGAGUUAAACAGUACGUGAAAUUGUUGAAAGGGAAACGCUUGAAGUCAGUCACAUUAGUCAGGGAUCAACCUUACUUUACAAUUUGGUGUACUUUCUGAUUAAUGGGUCAGCAUCAAUUUCAAUCAGUGGAAAAAGUUCAAGGGAAUGUGGCAUCUUUUAGAUGUGUUAUAGACUUUGACUGUAUAUACUGGUUGAGAUUGAGGUAUUCAGCAUGCCGCAAGGCCGGGUUUUCAACCACGUUCAUGCUUAGGAUGCUGGCAUAAUGGCUUU
rnacentral:rRNA from 1 species